UACAGAGGUCUCAAGCGUUGUUCGGAAUUACUGGGCGUAAAGGGCGCGUAGGCGGUACGACAAGUCGGGAGUGAAAGCCCGGGGCUCAACCCCGGGACUGCUUUCGAAACUGUCGAACUUGAGUGCAGAAGAGGCAACUGGAAUUCUCGGUGUAGCGGUGAAAUGCGUAGAUAUCGAGAGGAACACCUGCGGCGAAGGCGGGUUGCUGGGCCGACACUGACGCUGAUGCGCGAAAGCCAGGGGAGCGAACGGG
rnacentral:rRNA from 1 species